GCCCGCCCGCCCGCCGGCUUGGGCUGCAGGCGCGGCUGGGAGAAAAGCGGCAACGGAAAGACAACCGGAGCCGCUUCUCGGCGGAUCCCGCCUGGGGGCCGCGGGCGCAAAGGCGGCGCUGCUCCGGGGGCGCCGGGCAGGGACGCGGCGAGCAGGUAAGGCGGCGCUGCCUUCCUUCCUUCCUUCCUGCAAGGAAAUCUCGGCCGACCUCGCUUUGCUCUCGGGCUGCCCCACAUGAAGUCGGUUGUCGGUUUGCAUCUCGCAGUUGCUUCCCAGUGUGGGGCGAAUUCAAGAAAUGCGCGGCGGGAUUCUGGAAAGGGAAAGGCUUUUGUGGGGCACGUGUGCUCUUUGCUCGUGCGAAUGAACAACGUACACGUACACUUCGAUUAUGCUCCCUUCUAAUCUCUUUCGUGAGAUGCAGAUGGCUGAAAUAGGUUUUUGAAAAGAAAAGCAGCAGUAUAGCCUGCAUUACCAAAGGUGGGCUUUCUUGAUUUGGACCUGUUUGCCUGUUCUAGGGAAGCAGGUUUGGUGUGACUUGUGCAGACGCGGCCCCGGCCGCCUGCCCGCUCCAUCCUGCUGGUGCUGCUGGUCCCACCAGGAACUGUUGAGCUAGAACUGGGAGCUGCCAGCGAGGGGCCACUGGGGAUGCAGGUGGAAAUCUUUGCAGAGCUCAGAGCUCCAGGUGCAAAAACUUCGGGGCCAGCCUUUGCCUUUGCUCAUCUGCUCAGUUCCUUGUCCUGGGGAGUCCUGCUCCCACUUUCUCGCUCUCUAGGGUGCCUGCAGCCUAGCAGCACACCAUGGGAAGCCCCACUCUUUGACCACUGCCUGGCUUUGGAGACUGCCCACCAGCUAAAGGCAGUGAGUGGUGGAUGCCACUAGGUUGUUUCCAUAGACUGUACUGGUUCCAAGGCACAUGCAGACAUUAUUCCCGUGUGCGGUUAGGGACACUGAGCAUUCCUUGGGAGCAGAGAUGAUGGCCCUGAGCACCCUAAGCCCAAACUCUAUGUGAGAGUGAGGCUCCAUGUCUCCAAAGGAAGUGGAGGAUUUCAUCCUUAAGGAAGGCGAUGGAUUGGCUGUGGAUGACUUUGCUGCUGGAGACAAGGCUCCUCAGAGAAGCUGCUCGAGACUGUCAGAUGUCUCUGGAAGACCUUUCUAUACCUACAGGCCUUUACAGCUGAUUGGCCAGCAAUGCUAAUGAUUAUCUAUAGUGCUUGAUGUGCUACAGUGGCACACCACCUUGAUGUUUACAGGGUGUAUGAGGUGUAAGGAGAGGGCGAGACCUCUAGUGGGAGACACUUUUGGUCACCACCCUGAACUCAGCUCUCACCUGUGGCUCUAAGAAGCCCUCAGCCUGUGACAGCGGCCACACAUGGGAAAGCUAGCUAGUGCUCCUCUGUGUGCAAUGGAUGGAGCAAGGUUUCUUUGCUCUUCAGAAAACAGUGUGUCCAUUUUGGGGGGAAACCCCUCAACCAACAGGUUUGUUUUAAUAAUUGGAUGCUCUGUUUCUAAAUUUCAAACUUUCAUUUGCUUGUGUCUUGCUACAUUUCACACACUGACGGAUGCUGUUCCCGCCCCCCUCCAAUACUAGUACAGUCAUACCUUGGUUCUCGAAUGCCUUGGGACUCGAACAUUUUGGCUCCCAAACCCCGCAACCCCGGAAGUGAGUGUUCCUGUUUGCAAAUGUUCUUUGGAAGCUGGUCGUCCAAUGCGGCUUCUGACUGAGUGCAAGGAGCUCCUGCAGCCAUUCGGAAGCUGCGCCUUGGUUUUCAAAAGUUUCCGGGAGUCGAAAGGACUUCUGGAACAGAUUCCGUCCGAGAACCAAGGUACGACUGUAAGCCCAUCUUUCAUGCAUUGUUGAGGAAAUAUUUGGACCCUUUUAGUAGUUGUGUCUUUUCUUUGCUUCCCUGGGUUUUUCUCUUCAGCAAAGCUUGUCUUUGAUGUUGUGCAAGAGGCCAGGUCAUCUUUACCACCAUUCUGGUUGCAUUUUCUUACCAAAAAGGCUUCCAUGACAUCCAAAAGGAUUCAGCUGUCCCUCCUCAUCUACAUCUCCACUUGCUUCCUGUUCCUUCUGCCGCCUCCUUUCUUUCUCCAUCAUUCUUUUCUUUCCUUCUCUUAUGUUUGUCCUCAUGUCACCUGUCUUGGUCUUGCCUUUGUUUCUCUCUCUUCUCUCUCACCCUCUGCCUUUUUGCCUCCUUCCGGCACUCUCUCAGACUUGCCGCCUUCUUUCACAGCCCUCCAAAGACCAGCUGUCUCCCUGUUGCUGUUUCCUCUCUGCCAACAUCUU